rnacentral:rRNA from 1 species
GUAGGGAAUUUUCCGCAAUGGGCGCAAGCCUGACGGAGCAACGCCGCGUGAGGGAUGAAGGUUUUCGGAUCGUAAACCUCUGUCUUCAGGGACGAUAAUGACGGUACCUGAGGAGGAAGCCACGGCUAACUACGUGCCAGCAGCCGCGGUAAUACGUAGGUGGCGAGCGUUGUCCGGAAUUACUGGGCGUAAAGGGCGUGUAGGCGGCUUUUCAAGUCAGAUGUGAAAUCUCAGGGCUUAACCCUGAAACUGCAUUUGAAACUGGAGGGCUUGAGGACCGGAGAGGGCAGUGGAAUUCCCAGUGUAGCGGUGAAAUGCGUAGAUAUUGGGAAGAACACCAGUGGCGAAGGCGACUGCCUGGACGGCUCCUGACGCUGAGGCGCGAAAGCUAGGGGAGCGAACGGGAUUAGAAACCCUAGUAGUCC